GCUAACUCAAGGAGCAAACUGAGAAAUGACCUGCUGACCUAUUGUUUGAUUGAAAGAGAAAGAGAAGAGAGGGGAGAGAGAGAAGGAGAGAGAAAAGGGGGAAGAAAGAGAGAGGGGGAGAAAGGGAGAGAGAGAGUGAGGGGAGAGAAAGGGGGACAGAGAGAGAGACAGAGAGAGAGAGACAGAAAGACAGAGAGAGAGAUCAAUUGAUCAAUUGAUUCAUCAGUCAAUCUUUGCAAGAGACAACACCAGAUAGUUACUAGGUGUCAUUUAUGUGCUGAGAUUACUGUGCUGGGUGUUUAGGAGGUAACUAUAGCAUGCAAGUCAGGCAGGGUCCCUGUCUAUAUGGCUCAGAACAGUCUCAUAGAGGAUUAUGACAACAAACACAGGUAAAGCCUCUGGGCUUUGUUAGGACAGGAAGCAGAGAGACCCUGUGGGUCCUCCUCCCUUACUCUUGUAGAAGGAGGCUGAGGGGCAGAGAUAGCUGAAAUCUCAUGGAAAAAAUCUUUUAGAAAUAGUGUAUGAAAGAGGGCAAACACAGAAUGGUUCUGGAAACUGUAGAAUCCUUAGCUCAGGCUGAGAAAUAGUAGAAAGUAGGAUUUUGAUGCCAAGUUAAAAUAGAGGGUAAGUUGAAAGAAUUGGCAAUCUAUCAAGAGUCUGUGAAGAUGAAAGCCAAGAUGAGCAGCUAGAGGAACAGUAGAAACCUCCAAGAAUAAAGAGUGAAGAAGGUUGGAGCUGGAACAUUAAAGAUCAUGUAUUCCAUCCCCACUCCCAGUUUUGCAACUAAAGGAAAUGAUGGCCAGGAGAGAAGUGUCACCGGAAAGAAGAGUACAGGUUUAGGAGCAAGGUGUUAAGAAGAUGGAAAGAUCUGCAUAGAGAAGAUAUCUAAAUCCUAGGAACUAUAGGCUCUAUGAAGCAAGUUCCCUCUGGGCAUGGUCACCUUUCAUUGGAAAAAUCUCUCUCUUCAAACCUGAAACUAAGACCACCUCCCAGGAAACUCUUUAGGUUGAUUGUAGAACUUCUCAUUUCAACACUUCCAUACGGAAGAGGUAUUAUGAUAAAAGCAUCUACUUCAAAUGAUUGUUUUCAACGAUAUUUCUUGUUCUUUGCUUAUAUGAC
ensembl:lncRNA